rnacentral:rRNA from 1 species
GUGCCAGCAGCCGCGGUAAUACGGAGGAUCCGAGCGUUAUCCGGAUUUAUUGGGUUUAAAGGGAGCGUAGGCGGAUGUUUAAGUCAGUUGUGAAAGUUUAAGGCUCAACCUUGAAAUUGCAGUUGAUACUGGACGUCUUGAGUGCAUUAAAUGUGGGCGGAAUUCGUGGUGUAGCGGUGCAAUGCUGAGAUAUCAUGAAUAACUCCAAUUGCUACGGCAGCUCACAGGACUGUAAAUAACGCUGAUGCUCGAAAGUGUGGGUAUCAAACAGGAUUAGAUAC